UCAGAAUGAAUCAUGCCAGGAAAGAGAGAAGGGCUGAUUAGAAUGGAAGAUGAGCACAAAUGAAUACUGUCAUUUGUUUGACUUAGAUUACUUUCUUGUCCUGCAAAACGGCCAUUAACGCCAAUGACUUUCUUGUUUCAACUCCCCUGGAGUGUUCCCAAGGCUUUUUGUUGUUGUUGUUCCUUGGCAUUUUCAUUCACUAUGGAAAUUCUGAGUGCCUAUUACAAGAUUACAGUGGAGGUGUGAGUGCACGCACUUCUUGGAUUUAAAAUUUGAUUUGGAAAGAACUUGAUGCCAGAUACAUGCUGCUCACAAAGAGGAAAAAAAAGGCAUUUAAGGAGAGUCAAGGGAAUCUUGCUGCCUGUCAACUGGGAACCUCUGAAAUACCUGAUCGUUAAGCAGGUUGUGUCGCCUCCUGCCAAUUACAUCCUGAUGGGGGGAGAUGAAAGGCAAUUCUCUGACCAAAAUAGAAUUUGCCUUUAUCCUCAGAGAGCUUUAAUUCGAAACUCAAACAAUGGAGCGUAGUUUUCUGUUGAUUUUAAUCAAGAGACUGGAGGGCUUCUCUGGUGGCGCAGUGGUUGAGAAUCCACCUGCCAAUGCAGGGGACACGGGUUCGAGCCCUGGUCCAGGAAGAUCCCACACACCGCGGAGC